UACGAAGGGGGCUAGCGUUGUUCGGAAUUACUGGGCGUAAAGCGCACGUAGGCGGACUAUUAAGUCAGGGGUGAAAUCCCGGGGCUCAACCCCGGAACUGCCUUUGAUACUGCUAGUCUCGAGUCCGGAAGAGGUGAGUGGAAUUCCGAGUGUAGAGGUGAAAUUCGUAGAUAUUCGGAGGAACACCAGUGGCGAAAGCGGCUUCCUGGUCCAGCACCGACGUUCAGGCACGAAAGCGUGGGGAGCAAACAGG
rnacentral:rRNA from 1 species